CGCAGCCGCGGUAAUUCCAGCUCCAAUAGCGUAUAUUAAAGUUGUUGCAGUUAAAAAGCUCGUAGUUGAAUUUCGAGAUCAAUUUGUUGGUCGUGCCUCGGUACGUACUGGCAAUUUUGGUUUCUCCCUUCUGAAGAACCAUGAUGUCAUUAAUUUGGUGUCAUGGGGAAUCAGGACUGUUACUUUGAAAAAAUUAGAGUGUUUAAAGCAGGCUCGCGCUUGAAUACAUUAGCAUGGAAUAAUGAGAUAGGACGUUUGAUUCUAUUUUGUUGGUUUCUAGGAUCGACGUAAUGAUUAAUAGGGAUAGUUGGGGGCAUUAGUAUUCAAUUGUCAGAGGUGAAAUUCUUGGAUUUAUUGAAGACUAACUACUGCGAAAGCAUUUGCCAAGGAUGUUUUCAUUAAUCAAGAACGAAAGUUAGGGGAUCGAAGACGAUCAGAUACCGUCGUAGUCUUAACCAUAAACUAUGCCGACUAGGGAUCGGAUGAUGUUUA
rnacentral:rRNA from 1 species